ensembl:snoRNA SNORD16 Small nucleolar RNA SNORD16
UGCUGUGAUGGUGUAAUUUGCGUCUUACUCUGGGUUGGUGACAGAAUGCCUGCUGUCGAAAGCCAGCACAGACGGCUGACGAACCCAAACUCUGAGCU